rnacentral:rRNA from 1 species
UUAGCGGCGGACGGGUGAGUAACACGUGGAUAACCUACCUAUAAGACUGGGAUAACUUCGGGAAACCGGAGCUAAUACCGGAUAAUAUUUUGAACCGCAUGGUUCAAAAGUGAAAGACGGUCUUGCUGUCACUUAUAGAUGGAUCCGCGCUGCAUUAGCUAGUUGGUAAGGUAACGGCUUACCAAGGCAACGAUGCAUAGCCGACCUGAGAGGGUGAUCGGCCACACUGGAACUGAGACACGGUCCAGACUCCUACGGGAGGCAGCAGUAGGGAAUCUUCCGCAAUGGGCGAAAGCCUGACGGAGCAACGCCGCGUGAGUGAUGAAGGUCUUCGGAUCGUAAAACUCUGUUAUUAGGGAAGAACAUAUGUGUAAGUAACUGUGCACAUCUUGACGGUACCUAAUCAGAAAGCCACGGCUAACUACGUGCCAGCAGCCGCGGUAAUACGUAGGUGGCAAGCGUUAUCCGGAAUUAUUGGGCGUAAAGCGCGCGUAGGCGGUUUUUUAAGUCUGAUGUGAAAGCCCACGGCUCAACCGUGGAGGGUCAUUGGAAACUGGAAAACUUGAGUGCAGAAGAGGAAAGUGGAAUUCCAUGUGUAGC